CCUGGUUUGUGCUUGGUAUGCACUGGGUAUAAAUUCUCUACACUCUGUGCCAUUGUCUGCUUGCCUGUUUGCUUGGAAGAAAUGCACUGACUCUGCAGGAACUGAUAUUACAAAACCUGCCCAGCUUCGCUCUGAAUCAAGCUUGCAAAACCAAAACCCAUUCAGGCUGCUAACUUAUCAGAAGUAUACCAGCAGCAAACCAUGGUUUAGGACUGAGACUACAAGAGUAGGUAAAAUGCUACAGUGGAACAUGA
rnacentral:lncRNA from 1 species